UUAUUUGUGGGAAAUCUGUUGAGAGGGAACCAUUUCCAAGAUGUAUGGGGAAGAAUUUCCUGAGCUGAUGUGAGAGUGUCAUUCCAGAGGGCCAUUAGACAGGAGCCGAGCCCCUCCGCCGGCAGGCAUGGCCAUGCGUCCCGUAGCCCUCUCUGGUACUGCCCCUCCCACGCUUCUCCAUCAUCUACUGAGAUACUUUAUGAUAGUGGCUCCUGGAGCACCUCCAUUGAAACCACCUGGCUGCACGUUCCAUAAUAUCCGAGUCUCAGGGUUAGGAAUAGCAUCUUAACAAGCUCCUAUGCUCACUUCUGAAGCACACCAACAUUUGAGAUUUAUUGGCCUCUAAGGUGAGGAGAGAAGCAUAGAGACAUGAAGUAAUGCUAUGCUAUAAACCAAAUGUUUGUGUUCCUCCAAAUACAUAUGUUGAAAUCCUAACUCCACCGGCCAACCCCACCAUGUGAUGGUCUUAGGAGUUAGGGCCUUUGGGAGGUGAUUAGGUCAUGAGGGUGGAACCUCAAUGAAUGGGAUUCAUGCCUUUAUAAAAGGGGCCCUAGAGAGCUCCCUCACCCUCUUUCCACCAUGCGAGGCUCUCAUGAGAAGUCGGCUGUCUGCAUUCGCAAGAGGACCCUUGUCAGAACCAACCGUGCUGGCCCUGUGAGCUCGGACUUCCAGCCUCCAAACUGUGGGAAAUACAUUUCUGUUGUUUCUGUGCCACCGCAGCUAUGAUUUUCUGUUAUAACAGCCGGAGCGGGUGAAGACAAGCAGUGUGCCAAAAUACAGCUGAAUUGCUUGGAUCCAAAGCCAGGCCUGGCUCGUGCCAAAGUUCCUGCUCCAGCCUCGAGGAGGAAGAACUACUCAAAGUGACACGGGAGAGAGGAGAUGGCCUUGUUGAUAGAGGCUUGGCCCCGAAGCCCCACUCUGCCCCUAAGCAGCUCCAAGACUGGGCACAAGCUGCUGUCCUCCCCAGCCUCGGGAUCCUGGUCUAUGCCACAGGGCCAGGAAGAGCACCACCUCCAGGGCUGCGUCAUCCUCAGCCCAGCGCCUGGCACCCAGCCACUGUGCCCAUCAUCGGGUUGUUCUGAGAAUGAAAGGGAUUAAUGAAUGUGAAUGACUCCUUAGCAAGCCUUGUGGCAGUGAACACAAGAAGGGGGGAGUUAUUUUUAGAUUCUAAACAAAGCCUGGGUCAGCAGGGACCCGGGGACCUGGAGGGAGAGCGUGUGGAUAACAGCAAGAGUUUUAGAGCGCGUGGCAAUCCUUUGCCCUGACCCCUGGCAUGCUGGAAAUGGUCUGUGGGCAGCGCAGGGCCCCCCAGGGCCAGUCUGGCUGUGCACCCCAGCCCCGGGCCCCUCUGAAGCAGAGACUGCUUACAUCUGAAACACCACGGCUCCUUCCUGGCAGAAGCGUGGGAAGGCAAACUUCAAAGUGUGUGUCAGGAUCCUCUUCUGCCUCCAAAGAUUAAAAAACCCCUCAAGAGACUCAGUAACCUCCAAGCCUUCACACGGGUAAACUGGUAUCUUUUUGAGAGGAACACAGAACCUGGAAGACAUUGAUAUGGCAGGAUUUUCAGAGCUCCCGUGGCACAAGAAAAGUGGGAAGGAAAGAUGAAUGCUUUAUGUUCUAAAGAGCGGGCCUGUGUCUUUCAUCCUGAGAUUAGAGGCCUGGAUGCCAGGCUCUCGCCCCUGAAUGGGUGAUGUUCUUAAACAAAGGGUGAGGGUGGAGGAGGGGAGCAGGGCACUGCCAUUCAUUCAUUCAUUCACUCCACAAACCCAUCCUAAGUGCUGUUCCAGGCUCUGGACUAGGCUCUGGACACAGAGAGAUUCAGAGACCAGCCCCUGCUGCUGACAUGCAGUCCAGCUGGGAGACAGCUGCGGGAGCCUGUGAAGAGCCUUGGCAUGGGAACCUAAGGGAUACCUAAGGAGGAGGCCUCUCACCCUUCCUGGGAGGGUCUGGAGGGCUUUGCUGAGGAGGAAACCCAUGAAUUUGAAGAAUGAGUAAAUGCUCAUUUGAGGAAGAGGAGAGAGGGCCUCCCAGGCAGAAGGGACAUGAUCAAAGGCCUGGAGCCAUGAACAGGCCUGAUGUGUCCAGAAAACGGAGGGGAGGAUGGUCCUGGGGUGGGGUGGGCGGGCGCAGCUGGAAGGCUGGCAGGAUGGAUGGAGGCCAGGCAGCGGAAGGCCUUGCCCACCCUAUCUGGGAGCCCACCCAGCCUGGGAGCCUGGGACUCAUCUCCUGGGAUCUUAGGGGCCCACAAGAGGUGUUAGUAGCACCUGAGUGACAUUUGGUCGCUUUCUCUGGGUUCUUAUUUCUACUUUUUUCUAAGCUUAGGAGAGAAGCACAUAUCCUGCUUGUCAGGCUCUCCAGCACUUUGGUCUUUCCUUCAGAAAUGUCAUGGUAGAAGAUUGGAACUGCAAUUCUGCCGGUGACAUUAGAGAUCCCUAAACAGAGCCUUUCAGAGGAGAAGUGAAGCCUGUGUCUGCUUCUUCCUCUCCCGCAGCUGAGCCUGUUCUCCUCGCCAUCAGGAGAGGAAAUUCUCAUAAUAAGAUGAUAUUGUUGGAUUAAAACAGGUCAAAACGAAACAAAA